rnacentral:siRNA from 1 species
UAACAAACUCUCUCAUCUCUCUC